AGCGAACGCUGGCGGCAGGCUUAACACAUGCAAGUCGAGCGACCCGCAAGGGGAGCGGCAGACGGGUGAGUAACACGGGGGAACGUACCUUUGGGUUCGGAACAACCCAGGGAAACUAGGGCAAAUACCGUAAAAGCACUUAGGGGGAAAGAUUUAUCGCCAAAAGAUCGGGCUACGUCUGAUUAGCUAGUUGGUGGGGUAAUGGCCCAGCAAGGCUACAAUCAGUAGCUGGUCUGAGAGGAUGAUAAGCCAAAUUGGGACUGUGACACGGCCCCAACUCCUACGGGAGGGAGCAGUGGGGAAUAUUGGACAAUGGGGGAAACCCUGAUCCAGCCAUGCCGCGUGAGUGAUGAAGGCCUUAGGGUUGUAAAGCUCUUUUAGAAGGGAAGAUAAUGACGGUACCUGCAGAAAAAGCCCCGGCUAACUUCGUGCCAGCCGCCGCCGUAA
rnacentral:rRNA from 1 species